CGGGAGGAGGAGAUCUCAGCAAGCAAACUUCAAAAUGUGUGUGUGGUGCCAACGAUUGAGGCAAUGGACAGUAAGAAAGUGGAGUCUUUUCAUCCCGUCAGAUGAAAACUGCGUAGAGAAGAAGGCCGUGCUAAGACUGCAGAAGAGAAAGAUCCGCGUGGCUCCCAGCUUUGUGACUGAGAAGAUGGAAUCCAGGCUAAAGGAACAGGAAGUCCCUUCACCCUGAGCAGUUAGCAAGGGGUCUUCCAUGGCUACUUCUGAAUCACUCCCCACCUGCCUUAGGAGCCAUGGAAAGAAUGAAAAGCUGACAAAACUGAAACCCAAAUCCAUGUGAUCAUAAGAAUCAACAAGCUAGCUCUCAGAGGUAUUAAGAGCUUUCCUGAACUGGAGGCCCGAGUACAGACAGGACACUGAAGACAUUUUAUGCUGCUCUCUGUCCUAUGAGCUAAUCAUCGCAGCUGGUGCCUGGAUGACACUUGCCUAUUGCAGUGAGGGACAGCCCUGUGCAUACACAUGUAAAGUGUACUCAUUGUUUGUCCCAGCUGCUAAAACGAGAAGGUGUUGCAACCUGCCUUCACUCAGCCUUACCCAGUCAAGGGGCUUCCAAUGACUGCAACUAACAAGGGAACAAGGAGAUAAAAAUUUCCCGUAUUCCAUAUAGCCCCAAACCAGGGCACGCAUGUGAAGAAAAUAUGCAAAUACAUUUCUCUGUAGUUGAUUUUCUUAGGUUCUGAAGACUGAAAACAAAGAAUUACUCAAUGGGAGUAGUUGAUAUAUUAGUCACCACGGGAUAGGACACCAAGGCUGUGGGAUGUGGAAGGAACAGAACUGUCACUAGGUGGUGCGUGCGUGCGUGCGUGUGUGUGUGUGUGUGUGUGUGUGUUAUACACAAGCAGACCAGAGGCCGAGAGUGCCAGAACCACUAAGUUCAGAGGGGAGGGCUUUUUUUUAACACAAAAUAGUUUGAUUUCACAAUGUCUGGGUGUUUUAAGGCACUGUCAUGUGCCACACGCAUAACUACUACACAUGGAAUGAUUUAUGAGGGAGCAUUCUUUCCAGCUUCCUAUGAACUUACAAAAUUUUAUUCAUGGUUCUUCAGUAGUACAGACACUCCUUGUUAGAUAGUACAAGAGGAGCAAGGCAGUGAACAAUAGUCUGUGGUAUUUAUUAGUAGAUAUGACACCCGAGUGGUUAAUUACAACAGGUGACACACGAUUGCUCUUCAAGCAGUACACCCACACCAAACAUUUACCCUCACUCUGAAGGACAGUACUCAUUUUAGAAAACUCAAAACAUGUUAUCCUUCAUGAAUACAAACACACACACACACACACACACACACACACACGAUGGACUUACAGAGAUGCACACAAAUUGUGGGAAACAAUGAAAAAAAGGCCCUGCUCUAGUAGACCUUGCUUCCUAGGGAGGCUAAGCAAAAAGCAUAAUCAUAUUAGUUAAAGAUGGAAACCCAGGAGGACAACACAAUGGAGACUGACUGCUGGGUAGGGUAGAAACAUCCACACUAGAUGUGACACUCAAGUGACCCAUCAACAAAAGGUGACAGUUGAGUUUGGAGGCGACUUAGCAGCUGCAGGAGGCCCAAGUCUGGUUCCCAGCACCCACAUUAGAGGGUUUGCAGCCACUUGUAACUCCAGCUCCAGGGGAUCUGGUACCCACUUCUGUUUCCGUGGGCACUGCACUCAUAUGUACGUAUACACACAGAC